ensembl:misc_RNA Y_RNA Y RNA
GGCUGGUCCGAAGGUAGUGAGUUAUCUGAAUCAUUCACAGUCAUUUGCAGAUUGAACUCCUUGUUCUACUCUUUCCCCUCUUCUUAUUACUGCACUAGUCUAGUCUUAA